AUUGAACGCUGGCGGCAGGCCUAACACAUGCAAGUCGAACGAGUGGCGGACGGGUUAGUAAUGUCUGGGAAACUGCCUGAUGGAGGGGGAUCACUACUGGAAACGGUAGCUAAUACCGCAUACCAUCAGAUGUGCCCAGAUGGGAUUAGCUAGUUGGUGGGGUAACGGCUCACCAAGGCGACGAUCCCUAGCUGGUCUGAGAGGAUGACCAGCCACACUGGGACGUAGACACGGUCCAGACUCCAACGGGAGGCAGCGAUGGGGAAUAUUGGACAAUGGGCGCAAGCCUGAGGCAGCCAUGCCGCGUGUAUGAAGAAGGCAUUCGGGUUGUAAAGUACUUUCAGCGGGGAGGCGUUACCCGCAGAAGAAGCACCGGCUAACUCCGUGGCAGCCGCCGCGGUAAUUC
rnacentral:rRNA from 1 species